rnacentral:rRNA from 1 species
UACGGGGGGGGUAAGCGUUGUUCGGAAUUACUGGGCGUAAAGGGCUCGUAGGCGGCCAACUAAGUCGGACGUGAAAUCCCUCAGCUUAACUGGGGAACUGCGUCCGAUACUGGAUGGCUUGAGUUUGGGAGAGGGAUGCGGAAUUCCAGGUGUAGCGGUGAAAUGCGUAGAUAUCUGGAGGAACACCGGUGGCGAAGGCGGCAUCCUGGACCAACACUGACGCUGAGUGAGCGAAAGCCAGGGGAGCAAACGGG